rnacentral:rRNA from 1 species
GACGAACGCUGGCGGCGUGCCUAAUACAUGCAAGUCGAACGCUUCUUUCCUCCCGAGUGCUUGCACUCAAUUGGAAAGAGGAGUGGCGGACGGGUGAGUAACACGUGGGUAACCUACCCAUCAGAGGGGGAUAACACUUGGAAACAGGUGCUAAUACCGCAUAACAGUUUAUGCCGCAUGGCAUAAGAGUGAAAGGCGCUUUCGGGUGUCGCUGAUGGAUGGACCCGCGGUGCAUUAGCUAGUUGGUGAGGUAACGGCUCACCAAGGCCACGAUGCAUAGCCGACCUGAGAGGGUGAUCGGCCACACUGGGACUGAGACACGGCCCAGACUCCUACGGGAGGCAGCAGUAGGGAAUCUUCGGCAAUGGACGAAAGUCUGACCGAGCAACGCCGCGUGAGUGAAGAAGGUUUUCGGAUCGUAGAACUCUGUUGUUAGAGAAGAACAAGGACGUUAGUAACUGAACGUCCCCUGACGGUAUCUAACCAGAAAGCCACGGCUAACUACGUGCCAGCAGCCGCGGUAAUACGUAGGUGGCAAGCGUUGUCCGGAUUUAUUGGGUGUAAAGCGAGCGCAGGCGGUUUCUUAAGUCUGAUGUGAAAGCCCCCGGCUCAACCGGGGAGGGUCAUUGGAAACUGGGAGACUUGAGUGCAGAAGAGGAGAGUGGAAUUCCAUGUGUAGCGGUGAAAUGCGUAGAUAUAUGGAGGAACACCAGUGGCGAAGGCGGCUCUCUGGUCUGUAACUGACGCUGAGGCUCGAAAGCGUGGGGAACAAACAGGAUUAGAUACCCUGGUAGUCCACGCCGUAAACGAUGAGUGCUAAGUGUUGGAGGGUUUCCGCCCUUCAGUGCUGCAGCAAACGCAUUAAGCACUCCGCCUGGGGAGUACGACCGCAAGGUUGAAACUCAAAGGAAUUGACGGGGGCCUGCACAAGCGGUGGAGCAUGUGGUUUAAUUCGAAGCAACGCGAAGAACCUUACCAGGUCUUGACAUCCUUUGACCACUCUAGAGAUAGAGCUUUCCCUUCGGGGACAAAGUGACAGGUGGUGCAUGGUUGUCGUCAGCUCGUGUCGUGAGAUGUUGGGUUAAGUCCCGCAACGAGCGCAACCCUUAUUGUUAGUUGCCAUCAUUUAGUUGGGCACUCUAGCGAGACUGCCGGUGACAAACCGGAGGAAGGUGGGGAUGACGUCAAAUCAUCAUGCCCCUUAUGACCUGGGCUACACACGUGCUACAAUGGGAAGUACAACGAGUCGCUAGACCGCGAGGUCAUGCAAAUCUCUUAAAGCUUCUCUCAGUUCGGAUUGCAGGCUGCAACUCGCCUGCAUGAAGCCGGAAUCGCUAGUAAUCGCGGAUCAGCACGCCGCGGUGAAUACGUUCCCGGGCCUUGUACACACCGCCCGUCACACCACGAGAGUUUGUAACACCCGAAGUCGGUGAGGUAACCUUUUUGGAGCCAGCCGCCUAAGGUGGGAUAGAUGAUUGGGGUGAAGU